ACCCGCACAAGCGGUGGAUGAUGUGGUUUAAUUCGAUGCAACGACGAAAACCUUACCCACCUUUGACAUGUACGGAAGCCUUUAGAGAUAGAGGCGUGCUCGAAAGAGAGCCGUAACACAGGUGCUGCAUGGCUGUCGUCAGCUCGUGUCGUGAGAUGUUGGGUUAAGUCCCGCAACGAGCGCAACCCUUGUCAUUAGUUGCUACAUUCAGUUGGGCACUCUAAUGAGACUGCCGGUGACAAGCCGGAGGAAGGUGGGGAUGACGUCAAGUCCUCAUGGCCCUUAUAGGUGGGGCUACACACGUCAUACAAUGGCUGGUACAAAGGGUUGCCAACCCGCGAGGGGGAGCUAAUCCCAUAAAGCCAGUCGUAGUCCGGAUCGUAGUCUGCAACUCGACUACGUGAAGUCGGAAUCGCUAGUAAUCGUGGAUCAGAAUGUCACGGUGAAUACGUUCCCGGGUCUU
rnacentral:rRNA from 1 species